CCCCCCCUCGCCUGGCUGGGCGACUUGUGUACCCAACCCCCACCACCACCGUCGCCCCCAGGCCCCGGCGGAAAGGCCCUGCCAGCUGGUACAGAAGCUGGACCCUGGUUCUGCCCGGGAGCCCUGAGGACUCCAGACCAUGCCUCUCUCUCAGCCCCAUUCUCAGCUCUGCAGAGACAAGUUGCAAAGCACAGCUGCCUCCAUCUCCCAAGAUGGCCACCCAGGGCCUGGUGGUGCUGGAGCGGAGUGGAAUCUAGCCUGCACCCUAAGCAUAUUCCCUGACCCGGAAUCAAACCUGUGACUUCUUGGUUCCAGGAUCAACGCUCAACCGCUGGCUGAGGCAGUAUCUCCCUCCAUCCCUGCUGAGUAGGUGUUGCCCGGGUGCCCAGCUGGUAAAGGACUUGAGUCUGUG